AAAGAAACCAACCGGGAUUGCCUCAGUAACGGCGAGUGAAGCGGCAAGAGCUCAAAUUUGAAAUCUGGCCCCUCCGGGGUCCGAGUUGUAAUUUGCAGAGGAUGCUUCGGGUGCGGCCCCCGUCUAAGUGCCCUGGAACGGGCCGUCAGAGAGGGUGAGAAUCCCGUCUUGGGCGGGGUGUCCGUGCCCGUGUGAAGCUCCUUCGACGAGUCGAGUUGUUUGGGAAUGCAGCUCUAAAUGGGUGGUAAAUUUCAUCUAAAGCUAAAUACUGGCCGGAGACCGAUAGCGCACAAGUAGAGUGAUCGAAAGAUGAAAAGCACUUUGAAAAGAGAGUUAAACAGCACGUGAAAUUGUUGAAAGGGAAGCGCUUGCGACCAGACUCGCUCGCGGGGUUCAGCCGGCAUUCGUGCCGGUGUACUUCCCCGCGGGCGGGCCAGCGUCGGUUUGGGCGGUCGGUCAAAGGCCUCCGGAAUGUAUCACCCUCCGGGGUGCCUUAUAGCCGGGGGUGCAAUGCGGCCAGCCCAGACCGAGGAACGCGCUUCGGCACGGACGCUGGCAUAAUGGUCGUAAACGAC
rnacentral:rRNA from 2 species